rnacentral:rRNA from 1 species
UCAAGUUAUUAAGGGUGCAGGGCGGAUGCUUGGCACUAGGAGCCGAUGAAGGACGUGAUAAGCUGCGAUAAGCUUCGGGGAGUUGCACGUAAACUUUGAUCCGAAGAUUUCCGAAUGAGGAAACUCACUUAGAGUAAUGUCUAAGUAUCAUUAAGUGAAUACAUAGCUUAAUGAGGGGAACUCAGGGAACUGAAACAUCUAAGUACCUGAAGGAAGAGAAAGAAAUUCGAUUCCGUAAGUAGCGGCGAGCGAACGCGGAUUAGCCCAAACCAAUAAAGUUUUCUUUAUUGGGGUUGCGGACAUAUCAUAACGAAGAGGUAUCGUAAUUGAAGAGGUUUGGAAAGACCCACCACAGAAGGUAAUAGUCCUGUAUGUUAAACGAGAAGACUUUAGAUAUGAUCCAGAGUACCACGGGACACGUGAAACCCUGUGGGAAGCAGGAGGGACCACCCUCCAAGGCUAAAUACUACCUAGUGACCGAUAGCGUAUAGUACCGUGAGGGAAAGGUGAAAAGAACCCCGGGAGGGGAGUGAAAUAGAACCUGAAACCCUGCACUUACAAGCUGUGGAAGCACAUUUCUUGUGUGACCGCGUACUUUUUGUAGAACGGGCCAACGAGUUACGUUAAGUAGCAAGGUUAAGCACUUAAGGUGCGGAGCCGUAGCGAAAGCGAGUUUUAACUGAGCGUUCAGUUACUUGACGUAGACCCGAAACCGGGCGACCUACCCAUGAGCAGGAUGAAGCGAAAGUAAAAUUUCGUGGAGGUCCGAACCCACGAGCGUUGAAAAGCUCGGGGAUGACUUGUGGGUAGCGGUGAAAUUCCAAUCGAGCCCGGAGAUAGCUGGUUCUCCCCGAAAUAGCUUUAGGGCUAGCCUCAAGGUGAGAGAUACGGAGGUAGAGCACUGAAUGUCCUAGGGGGUAUUGCACCUACCGAAGACUAUCAAACUCCGAAUGCCGUCAUCUUAUACUUGGGAGUCAGACUGUGGGUGAUAAGAUUCAUAGUCGAAAGGGCAACAGCCCAGAUCGUCAGCUAAGGUCCCUAAAUGUAAGUUAAGUGGUAAAGGAUGUGGGAUUGCACAGACAACCAGGAUGUUGGCUUAGAAGCAGCCACUCAUUCAAAGAGUGCGUAAUAGCUCACUGGUCGAGUGAUCCUGCGCCGAAGAUUUCCGGGGCUAAAACUUACUACCGAAGCUACGGCAUCAGUAAUGAUGGGUAGGGGAGCUUCCCAUACGGGUUGAAGCAUGACCGUAAGGACAUGUGGACAGUAUGGGAGUGAGAAUGUUGGCAUGAGUAGCGAGAUGUGGGUGAGAAUCCCACAGGCCGUAAACCCAAGGUUUCCAGGGGAAGGUUCGUCCGCCCUGGGUUAGUCGGGACCUAAGCUGAGGCCGAAAGGCGUAGGUGAUGGACAACAGGUUGAUAUUCCUGUACUACCGAUAACCGUUUGAGAGAAGGGAUGACACAGUAGGAUAAGCUAAGCACACUGUUGGUUAUGUGUGCCCAAGCAUUGAGGCAGUCAAAGUAGGCAAAUCCGCUUUGAUAAUGCUGGGAUGUGAUGGGGAGCGAAAUUUAGUAGCGAAGUAGCUGAUUUCACACUGUCAAGAAAAGUCUCUAUCGAGGUUAAAGGUACCCGUACCGCAAACCGACACAGGUGGGUGAGGAGAGUAUCCUAAGGCCAGCGAGAGAACUGUUGUUAAGGAACUCGGCAAAAUGACCCCGUAACUUAGGGAUAAGGGGUGCCACCAUCAGGUGGCCGCAGAGAAUAGGCCCAAGCGACUGUUUACCAAAAACAUAGGUUUCUGCUAAGUCGCAAGACGAUGUAUAGGAGCUGACGCCUGCCCGGUGCUGGAAGGUUAAGGGGAUCUGUUAGAGCAAUCGAAGCAGUGAACUUAAGCCCCAGUAAACGGCGGCCGUAACUAUAACGGUCCUAAGGUAGCGAAAUUCCUUGUCGGGUAAGUUCCGACCCGCACGAAAGGCGUAACGAUUUGGGCACUGUCUCAACAACAGACUCGGUGAAAUUGUAAUUCCGGUGAAGAUGCCGGAUACCUGCGACAGGACGGAAAGACCCCAUGGAGCUUUACUGUAGCUUGACAUUGGGUCUUGGUACUACAUGUACAGGAUAGGUGGGAGGCUUUGAAACCAGGACGCCAGUUUUGGCGGAGCCAUCCUUGGGAUACCACCCUUGUAGUACUGGGACUCUAACCAUAGGCCAUGAAUCUGGUCUUGGGACACUGUCAGGUGGGCAGUUUGACUGGGGCGGUCGCCUCCCAAAAGGUAACGGAGGCGCUCAAAGGUUCUCUCAGUACGGUCGGAAAUCGUACGUAGAGUGUAAAGGCAAAAGAGAGCUUGAUUGCAAGACAUACAGGUCGAGCAAGGAUGAAAAUCGGACUUAGUGAUCCGGUGGUUCUGCGUGGAAGGGCCAUCGCUCAACGGAUAAAAGCUACCCUGGGGAUAACAGGCUUAUCUCCCCCAAGAGUCCACAUCGACGGGGAGGUUUGGCACCUCGAUGUCGGCUCAUCACAUCCUGGGGCUGUAGUAGGUCCCAAGGGUUGGGCUGUUCGCCCAUUAAAGUGGUACGCGAGCUGGGUUCAGAACGUCGUGAGACAGUUCGGUCCCUAUCCGUCGCAGGCGUAGGAAAUUUGAGAAGACCUGUCCUUAGUACGAGAGGACCGGGAUGGACGUACCUCUGGUGUACCAGUUGUUCUGCCAAGGGCAUGGCUGGGUAGCUAUGUACGGAAUGGAUAAGCGCUGAAAGCAUCUAAGCGCGAAGCCAACUUCAAGAUAAGAUUUCCCACCGCAAGGGUAAGACCCCAGAAAGACUAUCUGGUUGAUAGGUCGAAGGUGUAAGUGCAGCAAUGUAUUUAGCUUAUCGAUACUAAUAGGUCGAGGACUUGACC